ACUUUAUGUAUUAUUAUUCUCCAUUUUAAUAAAAGUUGCAAAAUACCUCCCAUACCCGGCAUCAUGGCAAAUCAGUAUUUAGUUCUUUAUCAGCUGAAGAAUUGUCUUGGAGAGGCAACAGGUGAUGGCCAGUAAACACAUCCCCAUAGACACCUGGCUGGAGGCCCUGGGUAUGAAGGAGUACGAGGGGGUGUUCCGGGAUUUCCACGGAGUAGAGGAUCUGCUGAACUUGACAGAGGCAGAUGUCAGGAAUCUUGGGCUGAAAAAUAGUGCUCACCGAGCCAAAAUAAUCUCCAGUCUGCGCAUAUUGAAAGAAAAAUAUGAAAGAGGUUAUCGCAAGCCCAGGGUUAUACAGAGAAGUCACAGUGCUUCUGCACAGCUCUCCUGUUCACCAAGUAACAACAACUACUUUCCGGACUAUCAAGUGGUGAAUAUAUCUCCUGAGAGAUUAGAGCACGAUUUGAUCAGUGAACUGCAAGCAGACCCAUCGGAACUAAGACACUGGCCCUGGUAUCAUGGGAGUGUAAGUCGACAACACGCCGAGAAAACUCUGUCCCACAAUGGCGACUUCUUAGUGAGGGACUGUAUGUCACAGCCUGGAGACUUUGUUUUAAGCUGUUGUUGGAAAAGUGCUCGUUUACAUUUCAUUAUAAACUCUCAAGUGACCGAGAAGAACAAUCAUAUUCCCGAGAUUACUUAUUCGUUGGAGGACGAUAGGUUUUGUUCCGUGCAGGACCUCGUUCAAUUUUAUAUGUCCCACAGGAAAUGUGUGACUAAAACAUCCGGAGUGUUACUUUUGAAUCCCAUUGGAAGAACAAUGCCGUUGAGUUACUACGACACUAAGUAUGGCUUUGCCGGAGCAAUUCCUUCCGGAGGUUUGCACGCUCAAGGUCACAGUCCUGGUGACAAAAGAAGUCCGUACCACUCGCCUCACACAUCUCCGAAAGUGAGUCCCCGUUUACAGAGGCGACCGGUGAGGGCUGGGAGUCAGCCAAUACUCAAAACGGACCAUGUGCCCAAUGUGACAGGCGGACAGAUCGAUAGAUGUGAGAGUACGCCAAGUAUCAAACAGCAAUUGUCUCCGAAUCCUGCAUAUCCGGGAGGUCUCCCGUUUCAUGUUCAGCACCAGCGAUCAGGAAGUGAACCUUCGAUUGCAUCACCUAAUGACAACAUGUCCCAGAAUUCUUCAAAGUCCCAAUAUUUGUCUGUGCAACCAAGAAUGGCCCCCUCUACAUCGGACAGCCAUCUCAACAAACCCCCACCCCCCAAACCAAGCAGGAUCCCCUCUGUCAAAUACAUUGGGAAGGACCGUCCAAAAAUUACUGUCAGGAAUAAGCAGCUGUAUGAAGAUGAUGACAGGGAUUAUUCUGACUAUUCUCAGGUAAAAGAACCCCCUAGCUGGCUCACUCAAUGUCAGCCACCAAACUACAGCGGGAACUUAAACACGAAUCAUCAACCAUCGAACAGUGAAAGUGAUUAUGACAAUAAUUACAAUAAUGUUCAUUUUGAAAACAAAUAUGCCAAAGACCAUCCCGAGACUCUGACGAUAGAGUUGCCGGAGAAAAUCAGGAAAAAGGUUCCUGGUUCGCGGAUGUCUGUGUUAGAAGCUAGGGACUACGCUGAAAUUCCUCCAUCUCCCCUCACCCCUAAAGGGAAACAGAUCCAAGUGUUAGGGGAGGAGGAAGAUAUUAAUGUAGAGAUGAGGAAAAAAACAUUGAAGUUGCCAGAAAUGGAAUCUCACAUGAGUCUGAAACCAAAUGAAUUUAAUUCUUCGUUACUUUACUCGGACAACAAACCUCUGGAGCCCUCUGUGCUUCUGAAGGUGAAGGAAGUCCUGUUGGAGAAUAAUACUCAGCGCCUGGCUGAACACAUCACAAAGGUGGACCUGGAUUACCUGAAAGUCCUGAACGAGGCAGAUCUGGGAUUGGGAGUGGUAUCGGGAUUAGAGCUACUCACCCUCCCUCAAGGGAAACAACUCCGGCAAGACAUCAUUGAGAGGUGCUAUUGCAUGAAAGUGUUUGUGAUGGUGACGACUUUGACCUGCGGAAAGGUCACGGAGCGUGCCAAAAUGUUGAGUCAGUGGAUACAGAUUGCUGUGGACCUGAGGACCACAUUUGGAAAUUUGUUUGGCUUCGCAAGUGUUAUGGAGGGUCUCACAUCAGAACAUAUUACCCGCCUGCGAGACACCUGGUUAAUACUACGUCGGAACCACACUAGCAGUGCCUUCCAGUUCGACACGAAACUCAAGUCAGCUUACAAAUCGUUAAUGGACGGUAGUGGACUCCUACCGCUACAGAACGUGUCCAUCCCCGACAUUGCACCCUUAGUUUUUCUACUGGAGCGGGACGAGUCCAGUCUUACAGAUUACCUCCCCUGGGAAUUAUCUGAUCAGAACAGUGGAUUGGAUAUCUUACUGAUACAUUUAGAUACUGCACGACUCAUCACCGCUCAGUGCGGACUUUAUAAAGUGACAGCGGAAAACGUGAUGAAAACUGUGAAAUUCGAGGACCUUAUAUCCGACGUCUUUCAGACGGAGUUUCAUCUGAGGAUUUUAUGGGGAGCAAAAGGAGCGACUGUGGAGAGAACGGAAAGACAGAAAAAAUACGAACAAUUACUGGCCGUCCUGUCGAACCGGGCGGAAGCCCCAGAGGAUGAUGGGACUGCUGUUUAAAGGAUUCCCGCUGUUAACAAAUUAACAAAACAUUUAUCAGUUGCCUGGAAUUCUUACUCGCUUAUCAUCCAAAGAAAUUUUAUGCAGCAAAUAUUACUUUGUUAGAUGAUAUGUAUAUUGUAUAAUUAUAUACAUUUUUAAUAAAUUGUAACACAAU
rnacentral:misc_RNA from 1 species